GAGAACCAUGGAAUUACUCAAUUAAAAAAAUGAAUGAAAGAGUUCAAUCUUCACCAACAUGCUGAGGUCAAUGGUGCUGGAUUGCAUGUUUCUUUCACACACGGAUAUCUUGCUGCAACGCCAGAUGCUGCCACAAACGACAAAAAUGUCUGUCUCAGUUUAGAUAAGGACGGAAUACUUCAGCUUAAACGAUCUCAUCCUUACUUCUACCAGGUUCAACUACAAAUGUUUGUCUUUGGAUAAAAACGGUGUUUUUUGCGUCUACACUUCUAAGGAUUUCGGUUGCUUCAGCAUUGAUUUUGAUGAGACAUUCGUUAAAGAACACAUUAUACCCAAAUCAAAAUUGUACGUAGUGCAGGUUGUGUUCCCGGAAAUACUAUCAAAGUAUUGGAGUGAAACCCGUUACAAAAUUGCUCCAACGGAUGAAAAUGAAAUUGUUAAUAUCCAAGUACAGGAAUCAGCAGUGGAUAACAAUGGAAAAGAAAUUAGCUCUAUUCAAGUUACAUGUUACAUAAAUUACCAGAUGAUAAUAAUGCUGACGUACAUUGCGCAAAUGAAAACUGCCGUGCUCACGUGUAUCAUAAGUUCUGUUUAGAUGCCCUUGGUAAGAGAGGAAUCAAUUCAAAGUGGGAAUGCGACCCAAGCAAGCUGAUGAAAAAAAGGCAGCAAAAUUGCUAAAAAACACAUUGCCUAAUACCAGAAUACCUCUGCGAAAAAUAAAUUUGUAAAUAACUUUCAGUGAUACAAGUAAGCCAAAAACUAUCGAUGUGGUACGGAAAAUGCGUUAUAAACAAGACUUCGAAAAAUUGCGUUAGUUGUCACAUAUCAAUCCAGAGGAAUAACGCUAGGUAGGAGGUUGAUGAAAAUCACGCCAUGCAAGUCAGACACACAGGUAUGGCAACUUAAGCCAAAAAAUUCCAAAGGGUGGA